AUAUGAGUUCUAAGAUUAUUCUUUGUAUUAUAAAUAUAUAUUAUAGCUAAUGUGAGAAGGUGUCACGGUGAAGAAGAGGUAAAGAAGAGAUCCAACGAGGAAGGAGUAACAGAAGGUGUGUUAGAGUAACAGUGCUGUGUAGAAGGUGUACCAGCCUGCGAAGUCCUUCGUGGAUAGUGUAGUAGAACACCGGUGUUUUUAGUGUGUGUGUGUAGUAUUGUAGUGGAGUGUGGAACGAAGAUAAGAAGAUAUAGUAAACAGUAGCUAGGAGUGUAAGUAGUAGUCAACUAGAAGAAAGAAGAUAGUAACGAAGAAGUGUAUUUUGUAUAAACAUAGUUUUAGUAAUAUAUUUUAGUAGGAAGUAAAGACUUUUAGUUCGGAUAUUAUUUGGUGAUAUUUUAGUGUAGUAGUUUUAGUAAGUAGUUAGUUAGUAGUUAGUUUAUAGUGGGAAUCGGGUACAGGUCUAGGGAGGUUAGUGAGUAAGUGAAUUAUUAUAAUAUCUAGUGUUAAUUUAUUAACACCUUCUAUUUCAGUUUAUUUAUUAUAA